UACGUAGGUGGCAAGCGUUGUCCGGAUUUACUGGGCGUAAAGAGCGCGCAGGCGGUCGUUCAAGUCGCGUGUGAAAGCCCCCGGCUCAACUGGGGAGGGUCACGCGAUACUGAUCGACUCGAAGGCAGGAGAGGGUAGUGGAAUUCCCGGUGUAGUGGUGAAAUGCGUAGAUAUCGGGAGGAACACCAGUGGCGAAGGCGACACCCUGGACCAGCACUGACACUGAGGCGCGAAAGCCAGGGGAGCGAACGGG
rnacentral:rRNA from 1 species